rnacentral:rRNA from 1 species
ACUGAGCGGCGGACGGGUGAGUAACGCGUGGGUAACCUGCCUUACACAGGGGGAUAACAGUUAGAAAUGACUGCUAAUACCGCAUAAGACCCCGGUACCGCAUGGUACAGAGGUAAAAACUGAGGUGGUGUAAGAUGGACCCGCGUCUGAUUAGGUAGUUGGUGAGGUAACGGCUCACCAAGCCGACGAUCAGUAGCCGGCCUGAGAGGGUGGACGGCCACAUUGGGACUGAGACACGGCCCAAACUCCUACGGAAGGCAGCAG